rnacentral:ncRNA from 2 species
GGGCAUGAUGCGGGAGAGUAUGGGAAGCCUUGGAGGCCACCCCGUCACCGAAGGAGCAACCGCCCCGGAAUCUCUCAGGUCAAAGGACCGCAUCGCGCGC